ACACACAGUCGAGCGAUCAGAGAGUAAACAUACACAAAUAAACCGAUGCUACUACGGUGGGCAGCAGUGUCUGGCGUGGUUUUGGUUGUGAGGUGCGCAGGUGUCUGUCGUACCAGCUCUGACGAAUCAGAGCUCAUCAGCGAUUAAAAUGGAAAAUGUGGCAGGCAGAAAGGCAGAGAAGAAGGCCGAGGCAAAUUAUGAUCGAUGGCUAAUGGAUUGUGACUGGAUGCACAGCCAGAAUCAGAAAUGCCAACUUGCUUACGUUCCCUCUCUGCCGCCCUGCGCGGCCAUCCCUGGUCCUGCUGUUACGGUCGAGCUGCUGGGGAGUACAGCGUACACGGCGCCGUGCAAGUGUUUUUUUUCCUGGGGGUUUAAUGCUACAUGUGGCGGCGCGAACGCCGUUCUCUCCGAUACCACACAGCGGUUUGGCGUUAUUUUCGGUGAUGUUUACUUUAGCGGGUCUUGAUUGAGCUAGACGAAAGAUCGACGAAAGAACUACAUGUGAUUGCUUAUUAGCAUUAUGUGUGUUAUGUAAGGAAUUUUCUACCAAAUAUACAAAUUAAAAUCGCUCUCCAUUGUACGUCACGCGGUACGUGCAGGCGAA